GACGAACGCUGGCGGCGUGCUUAACACAUGCAAGUCGAACGGAAGGGCCCCCUUGUGGGGUACUCGAGUGGCGAACGGGUGAGUAACACGUGAGUAACCUACCCUUGACUUUGGGAUAACUUCAGGAAACUGGGGCUAAUACCGGAUAGGAGCUCCUGCUGCAUGGUGGGGGUUGGAAAGUUUCGGCGGUUGGGGAUGGACUUGCGGCUUAUCAGCUUGUUGGUGGGGUAGUGGCUCACCAAGGCUUUGACGGGUAGCCGGCCUGAGAGGGUGACCGGCCACAUUGGGACUGAGAUACGGCCCAGACUCCUACGGGAGGCAGCAGUGGGGAAUAUUGCACAAUGGGCGGAAGCCUGAUGCAGCAACGCCGCGUGCGGGAUGACGGCCUUCGGGUUGUAAACCGCUUUCGCCUGUGACGAAGCGUGAGUGACGGUAAUGGGUAAAGAAGCACCGGCUAACUACGUG
rnacentral:rRNA from 1 species